ACUCCUACGGGAGGCAGCAGUGGGGAAUAUUGCACAAUGGGCGCAAGCCUGAUGCAGCCAUGCCGCGUGUGUGAAGAAGGCCUUCGGGUUGUAAAGCACUUUCAGUUGUGAGGAAGGUGGUGUCGUUAAUAGCGGCAUCAUUUGACGUUAGCAACAGAAGAAGCACCGGCUAACUCCGUGCCAGCAGCCGCGGUAAUACGGAGGGUGCGAGCGUUAAUCGGAAUUACUGGGCGUAAAGCGCAUGCAGGUGGUUUGUUAAGUCAGAUGUGAAAGCCCGGGGCCCAACCUCGGAACUGCAUUUGAAACUGGCAGACUAGAGUACUGUAGAGGGGGGUAGAAUUUCAGGUGUAGCGGUGAAAUGCGUAGAGAUCUGAAGGAAUACCGGUGGCGAAGGCGGCCCCCUGGACAGAUACUGACACUCAGAUGCGAAAGCGUGGGGAGCAAACA
rnacentral:rRNA from 1 species